rnacentral:rRNA from 1 species
AGUCGAGCGAACAGACGAGGAGCUUGCUCCCCUGACGUUAGCGGCGGACGGGUGAGUAACACGUGGAUAACCUACCUAUAAGACUGGGAUAACUUCGGGAAACCGGAGCUAAUACCGGAUAAUAUAUUGAACCGCAUGGUUCAAUAGUGAAAGACGGUUUUGCUGUCACUUAUAGAUGGAUCCGCGCCGCAUUAGCUAGUUGGUAAGGUAACGGCUUACCAAGGCGACGAUGCGUAGCCGACCUGAGAGGGUGAUCGGCCACACUGGAACUGAGACACGGUCCAGACUCCUACGGGAGGCAGCAGUAGGGAAUCUUCCGCAAUGGGCGAAAGCCUGACGGAGCAACGCCGCGUGAGUGAUGAAGGUCUUCGGAUCGUAAAACUCUGUUAUUAGGGAAGAACAAAUGUGUAAGUAACUAUGCACGUCUUGACGGUACCUAAUCAGAAAGCCACGGCUAACUACGUGCCAGCAGCCGCGGUAAUACGUAGGUGGCAAGCGUUAUCCGGAAUUAUUGGGCGUAAAGCGCGCGUAGGCGGUUUUUUAAGUCUGAUGUGAAAGCCCACGGCUCAACCGUGGAGGGUCAUUGGAAACUGGAAAACUUGAGUGCAGAAGAGGAAAGUGGAAUUCCAUGUGUAGCGGUGAAAUGCGCAGAGAUAUGGAGGAACACCAGUGGCGAAGGCGACUUUCUGGUCUGUAACUGACGCUGAUGUGCGAAAGCGUGGGGAUCAAAC